rnacentral:lncRNA from 1 species
CAGAAUUCUCAGGAGCCCGCUGCCUUUUUCCUGUGUCGCCUGAGAGGAUAUCAGAGCCUUGUUCUGAGGACCAAGCUCCAGGUGUGAUUUUCCAGAGUCUGGACUCUGAAUACUAGACUGGCCAAGUUGCUGCUGCUCAUCUCAUCACCAUUUUCCAGCACUGAAGGUAGGAAGGAAAUCCACAC